UAGAAGUAGAGGUUGCGCUGAUUAAAAGUAUUCUGCCGGAUGCUGCAGGAGCGUGGGAAGGCAGAAAAAAGGAAAAAGCGCCGAAGGAAGAUAUUUUCUGCGGAUAUGUUCCUGGGCAUAUGGUGAACAAUCAUAUGACUGUCAUCCAAAGGGAUGGAGAGCUACUGA
rnacentral:ncRNA from 1 species